AUUGAACGCUGGCGGCAGACCUAACACAUGCAAGUCGAGCGGAUGAGGGGAGCUUGCUCCUGGAUUCAGCGGCGGACGGGUGAGUAAUGCCUAGGAAUCUGCCUGGUAGUGGGGGAUAACGUCCGGAAACGGGCGCUAAUACCGCAUACGUCCUGAGGGAGAAAGUGGGGGAUCUUCGGACCUCACGCUAUCAGAUGAGCCUAGGUCGGAUUAGCUAGUUGGUGGGGUAAAGGCCUACCAAGGCGACGAUCCGUAACUGGUCUGAGAGGAUGAUCAGUCACACUGGAACUGAGACACGGUCCAGACUCCUACGGGAGGCAGCAGUGGGGAAUAUUGGACAAUGGGCGAAAGCCUGAUCCAGCCAUGCCGCGUGUGUGAAGAAGGUCUUCGGAUUGUAAAGCACUUUAAGUUGGGAGGAAGGGCAGUAAGUUAAUACCUUGCUGUUUUGACGUUACCAACAGAAUAAGCACCGGCUAACUUCGUG
rnacentral:rRNA from 1 species